rnacentral:piRNA from 1 species
UGUCUGACUGACUGUUCUUUCUGUGUGCAG